GGUAUGAGAUGUUGCAAAGUCAGAAAGACCUUAGUGAUAACUGUGAACUGAGAACAGGACACUGUGAACAGAAGAAUGUGAAUUCAGCACAGAUGAACGACCACAAGAAGGUGGAACUAGGGAGUUUGGAGUUGCCAAUAAAUGAGACUUGCUGAUCAUU